rnacentral:rRNA from 1 species
GACGAACGCUGGCGGCGUGCCUAAUACAUGCCAGUAGAACGCUGAAGGAGGAGCUUGCUUCUCUGGAUGAGUUGCGAACGGGUGAGUAGCGCGUAGGUAACCUGCCUGGUAGCGGGGGAUAACUAUUGGAAACGAUAGCUAAUACCGCAUAAGAGUAGAUGUUGCAUGACAUUUGCUUAAAAGGUGCAAUUGCAUCACUACCAGAUGGACCUGCGUUGUAUUAGCUAGUUGGUGGGGUAACGGCUCACCAAGGCGACGAUACAUAGCCGACCUGAGAGGGUGAUCGGCCACACUGGGACUGAGACACGGCCCAGACCCCUACGGGAGGCAGCAGUAGGGAAUCUUCGGCAAUGGACGGAAGUCUGACCGAGCAACGCCGCGGGAGUGAAGAAGGGUUUCGGAUCGUAAAGCUCGGUUGUAAGAGAAGAAAGAGUGUGAGAGUGGAAAGUUCACACUGUGACGGUAUCUUACCAGAAAGGGACGGCUAACUACGUG